rnacentral:rRNA from 1 species
GGUAGGGGGCGUGAGAGCGCGGACCCCCACACUGGCACUGAGAUACGGGCCAGACUCCUACGGGAGGCAGCAGUAAGGGAUAUUGCGCAAUGGACGAAAGUCAGACGCAGCGACGCCGCGUGGGCGAUGAAGGCCUUCGGGUUGUAAAGCCCUUUUAUGGGGGAAGAGAAAACCGGACGGUACCCCAGGAAUAAGUCCCGGCUAACUACGUGCCAGCAGCCGCGGUAAAACGUAGGGGACAAGCGUUAUCCGGAUUCACUGGGCGUAAAGAGCGUUGAGGCGGUUCCGUAAGUUGGGCGUGAAAGCUCCGGGCUUAACUCGGAGAUGUCGUUCAAUACUGCGGGGCUUGAGGACAGCAGAGGAAGGUGGAAUUCCCGGUGUAGUGGUGAAAUGCGUAGAUAUCGGGAGGAACACCCGUGGCGAAGGCGGCCUUCUGGGCUGUUCCUGACGCUGAAGGCGAAAGCUAGGGGAGCGAACGGGAUUAGAUACCCCGGUAGUCCUAGCUGUAAACGAUGGAUGCUGGGUGUGGGGGGUGUAAAUUCCCUCUGUGCCGAAGCAAACGCGUUAAGCAUCCCGCCUGGGGGCUACGGCCGCAAGGCUAAAACUCAAACGAAUUGACGGGGGCCCGCACAAGCAGCGGAGCGUGUGGUUUAAUUCGAUGCUACACGAAGAACCUUACCUGGGUUUGACAUGCACGUGGUAGGGAACCGAAAGGGGACCGACCUUCGGGAGCGUGCACAGGUGCUGCAUGGCUGUCGUCAGCUCGUGCCGUGAGGUGUCGGGUUAAGUCCCGUAACGAGCGCAACCCUUGCCCUUAGUUACAAGUGUCUAAGAGGACUGCCCGGGACAACUGGGAGGAAGGUGGGGAUGACGUCAAGUCAGCAUGGCCUUUAUAUCCAGGGCUACACACACGCUACAAUGGCCGGUACAAUAGGUUGCGAAGUCGUGAGGCGGAGCCAAUCCUCAAAGCCGGUCUCAGUUCGAAUUGCAGUCUGCAACUCGACUGCAUGAAGCUGGAGUUGCUAGUAAUCGCAGGUCAGCUAUACUGCGGUGCAUACGUUCCCGGGCCUUGUACACACCGCCCGUCACGUCAUGGAAGCUGGCAACGCCUGAAGCCGGUGAGCUAACCCGAAAGGGAGGCAGCC